UCUUUUCAUGUACAAAUGCUCUAUUCUCAUCUCCAAUUCCGUCCAAAUCUUUUGAAGUGUAACUAAUUACUUCCGUUCCCAUUAUUUGAUAGCAUUGAUUGACACUGUUUUAAUUGUAACGAUCAAUACUACAUUCAAUUGACCAGUAAUACAUGUUAACUGUUCCUUAAACAAUAUACCAUACUAUAAAUAUUUGUAAAUGUCAAACAAUGUUUGAGUGCUGAUGAUGAUAAUUGAGAAUCUAGGGGUAGUAAAAACUGGACUACUACAUCUCAUCGGGAUUCAGGACACCGGAAGGGCAAGAAAAAGGAUUUUCUUAAAAGAUAUCAUCGAAUAAUUAGGAGUUAUCCGUUGCUUUGCAUCGAAUAAAUUUGAUUUUAUUAUCCUACACAGAUAGUAUAUGUAGUAGAAAUUU
rnacentral:lncRNA from 1 species